rnacentral:rRNA from 1 species
UUAAGCGACUAAGCGUACACGGUGGAUGCCUUGGCAGUCAGAGGCGAUGAAGGACGUGCUAAUCUGCGAUAAGCGUCGGUAAGGUGAUAUGAACCGUUAUAACCGGCGAUUUCCGAAUGGGGAAACCCAGUGUGAUUCGUCACACUAUCAUUAACUGAAUCCAUAGGUUAAUGAGGCGAACCGGGGGAACUGAAACAUCUAAGUACCCCGAGGAAAAGAAAUCAACCGAGAUUCCCCCAGUAGCGGCGAGCGAACGGGGAGGAGCCCAGAGCCUGAAUCAGUGUGUGUGUUAGUGGAAGCGUCUGGAAAGGCGCGCGAUACAGGGUGACAGCCCCGUACACAAAAAUGCACAUAUUGUGAGCUCGAUGAGUAGGGCGGGACACGUGGUAUCCUGUCUGAAUAUGGGGGGACCAUCCUCCAAGGCUAAAUACUCCUGACUGACCGAUAGUGAACCAGUACCGUGAGGGAAAGGCGAAAAGAACCCCGGCGAGGGGAGUGAAAAAGAACCUGAAACCGUGUACGUACAAGCAGUGGGAGCCUCUUUUAUGGGGUGACUGCGUACCUUUUGUAUAAUGGGUCAGCGACUUAUAUUCUGUAGCAAGGUUAACCGAAUAGGGGAGCCGAAGGGAAACCGAGUCUUAACUGGGCGUUAAGUUGCAGGGUAUAGACCCGAAACCCGGUGAUCUAGCCAUGGGCAGGUUGAAGGUUGGGUAACACUAACUGGAGGACCGAACCGACUAAUGUUGAAAAAUUAGCGGAUGACUUGUGGCUGGGGGUGAAAGGCCAAUCAAACCGGGAGAUAGCUGGUUCUCCCCGAAAGCUAUUUAGGUAGCGCCUCGUGAAUUCAUCUCCGGGGGUAGAGCACUGUUUCGGCAAGGGGGUCAUCCCGACUUACCAACCCGAUGCAAACUGCGAAUACCGGAGAAUGUUAUCACGGGAGACACACGGCGGGUGCUAACGUCCGUCGUGAAGAGGGAAACAACCCAGACCGCCAGCUAAGGUCCCAAAGUCAUGGUUAAGUGGGAAACGAUGUGGGAAGGCCCAGACAGCCAGGAUGUUGGCUUAGAAGCAGCCAUCAUUUAAAGAAAGCGUAAUAGCUCACUGGUCGAGUCGGCCUGCGCGGAAGAUGUAACGGGGCUAAACCAUGCACCGAAGCUGCGGCAGCGACACUAUGUGUUGUUGGGUAGGGGAGCGUUCUGUAAGCCUGUGAAGGUGUACUGUGAGGUAUGCUGGAGGUAUCAGAAGUGCGAAUGCUGACAUAAGUAACGAUAAAGCGGGUGAAAAGCCCGCUCGCCGGAAGACCAAGGGUUCCUGUCCAACGUUAAUCGGGGCAGGGUGAGUCGACCCCUAAGGCGAGGCCGAAAGGCGUAGUCGAUGGGAAACAGGUUAAUAUUCCUGUACUUGGUGUUACUGCGAAGGGGGGACGGAGAAGGCUAUGUUGGCCGGGCGACGGUUGUCCCGGUUUAAGCGUGUAGGCUGGUUUUCCAGGCAAAUCCGGAAAAUCAAGGCUGAGGCGUGAUGACGAGGCACUACGGUGCUGAAGCAACAAAUGCCCUGCUUCCAGGAAAAGCCUCUAAGCAUCAGGUAACAUCAAAUCGUACCCCAAACCGACACAGGUGGUCAGGUAGAGAAUACCAAGGCGCUUGAGAGAACUCGGGUGAAGGAACUAGGCAAAAUGGUGCCGUAACUUCGGGAGAAGGCACGCUGAUAUGUAGGUGAAGUCCCUCGCGGAUGGAGCUGAAAUCAGUCGAAGAUACCAGCUGGCUGCAACUGUUUAUUAAAAACACAGCACUGUGCAAACACGAAAGUGGACGUAUACGGUGUGACGCCUGCCCGGUGCCGGAAGGUUAAUUGAUGGGGUCAGCGCAAGCGAAGCUCUUGAUCGAAGCCCCGGUAAACGGCGGCCGUAACUAUAACGGUCCUAAGGUAGCGAAAUUCCUUGUCGGGUAAGUUCCGACCUGCACGAAUGGCGUAAUGAUGGCCAGGCUGUCUCCACCCGAGACUCAGUGAAAUUGAACUCGCUGUGAAGAUGCAGUGUACCCGCGGCAAGACGGAAAGACCCCGUGAACCUUUACUAUAGCUUGACACUGAACAUUGAGCCUUGAUGUGUAGGAUAGGUGGGAGGCUUAGAAGUGUGGACGCCAGUCUGCAUGGAGCCGACCUUGAAAUACCACCCUUUAAUGUUUGAUGUUCUAACGUGGACCCGUGAUCCGGGUUGCGGACAGUGUCUGGUGGGUAGUUUGACUGGGGCGGUCUCCUCCUAAAGAGUAACGGAGGAGCACGAAGGUUGGCUAAUCCUGGUCGGACAUCAGGAGGUUAGUGCAAUGGCAUAAGCCAGCUUGACUGCGAGCGUGACGGCGCGAGCAGGUGCGAAAGCAGGUCAUAGUGAUCCGGUGGUUCUGAAUGGAAGGGCCAUCGCUCAACGGAUAAAAGGUACUCCGGGGAUAACAGGCUGAUACCGCCCAAGAGUUCAUAUCGACGGCGGUGUUUGGCACCUCGAUGUCGGCUCAUCACAUCCUGGGGCUGAAGUAGGUCCCAAGGGUAUGGCUGUUCGCCAUUUAAAGUGGUACGCGAGCUGGGUUUAGAACGUCGUGAGACAGUUCGGUCCCUAUCUGCCGUGGGCGCUGGAGAACUGAGGGGGGCUGCUCCUAGUACGAGAGGACCGGAGUGGACGCAUCACUGGUGUUCGGGUUGUCAUGCCAAUGGCACUGCCCGGUAGCUAAAUGCGGAAGAGAUAAGUGCUGAAAGCAUCUAAGCACGAAACUUGCCCCGAGAUGAGUUCUCCCUGACCCUUUAAGGGUCCUGAAGGAACGUUGAAGACGACGACGUUGAUAGGCCGGGUGUGUAAGCGCAGCGAUGCGUUGAGCUAACCGGUACUAAUGAACCGUGAGGCUUAACCUU